rnacentral:rRNA from 1 species
AUUGAACGCUGGCGGCAUGCCUUACACAUGCAAGUCGAACGGUAACAGGUUAAGCUGACGUGUGGCGAGCGGGGGAGUGAUGUAUCGGAACGUGCACAGUCGUGGGUGAUAACUGCUCGAAAGAGCAGCUAAUACCGCAUACGACCUGAGGGUGAAAGCGGGGGGUCGCAAGACCUCGCGCGAUUGGAGCGGCCGAUAUCAGAUGAGGUAGUUGGUGAGGUAAAGGCUCACCAAGCCGACGAUCUGUAGCUGGUCUGAGAGGAAGACCAGCCACACUGGGACUGAGACACGGCCCAGACUCCUACGGGAGGCAGCAGUGGGGAAUUUUGGACAAUGGGCGGAAGCCUGGUCCAACCAUGCCGCGUGCGGGAAGAAGGCCUUCGGGUUGUAAACCGCUUUUGUCAGGGAAGAAAAGGUUCUGGCUAAUACCUGGGACUCAUGACGGUACCUGAAGAAUAAGCACCGGCUAACUACGUU